rnacentral:tRNA from 1 species
GGGUCCAUAGCUCAGUGGUAGAGUAUUUGACUGCAGAUCAAGAGGUUAUUGGUCAAACUUUAUUGGGCCCU